GGGUGAAGUCGGUGCAGAUGUUGGAGUAGGUGUCCACCAGGGUGCAGUAGAGGGCGGUGCCUCCCACGCUGAUCACCACCGUCACCAGACACAGCAGCAGCAGGAUGAGGCAGGAGUCUCCACCCACCUCAUCUACAGACAUCUGGAAUUUUCUGCGCUGGUGGGAGCAUCUGUGACCGAAUAUGGAGAGAAUGGAAGACACUGAUCCAAUUUUUCAUCUUCAUGGCUCUCUGCUCCGGCGUUUUGCGUCGUCGCUUCUUCUGCCGUCUCCUGGCCGUGGCGUCGAAGCAGGUGACCAUCAUGACGUUGGCCUUGCAGAUGUUCAGUCGGGUCUCCAGUCCAGACGUCACCACCUCAAGGGCCUCCAGGUGCUCCAGAGAAUCCACCUCGAAGGUCUGCCACAGGUCGACUGGGGAAGGAAAACAAGUAGAUCUGUUUAGUAAAAGCCGGAGGAAGCAGGACUCUACUGACACUCUCGGUUCCACUUGUCGGGCUGCAGCAUGAGGUUGUGUUUGGCCUCCUCCAGCUCCCUCCUCAGGCUGGAAUAUUUGGAUCGAACCUCUGAGAUCCUCUGCUGACGAAGCUCCAGAAACUUCAGCUUUGCACUGAAGCAUGUUGGCCCCUAAAACACACACAAACACACACAUUUCACUGCUUUUAUUAACAUCCAUCUCGUAAAUAAUAAGUCGUUUUAAAAAGCUUCCUCCAGAAUAAAACGCCUCCCACGUCGGCUUUUCUCUUGUUCUCAUUAAAUAUAAAGUGUGUGGUGUCUGGGCUGGAGCAUGAUGUUUGGUUUGUUUGGUUUGUCUUCACACUCAUAAACACCAUGUUAGGGCAGAGAUUAGACCUCUGGAGGGGCAAAUAAAACAGUCGGAUUAUUCUAACCUUAUUUUAAAGGUCACUACAUGCCCAUUAUUCACAGAGAAAUAAAAAAGAACGUCUAAAUAUAAAGGAUAUAACGCAAGCAUUGCUGCAGAGCCAGGAGUUAUAUUUCAGUAAUUCUGUCCUCCCAAAGGACAAACAAUCAAUAACUAAAACAGAUACUUUCAUUAAAUCAAAGUGUGCAUUUUCUUUUUUAAAUCUUGCCGUAUGUUUUCCCUACACCGUGUCUGUCCUGCUUCUGUCUUUGUUCCCGGCUGCAGCUCUGACCCACUUUCCCCCCAUGUGGUCAUUAAAAUUGCAUCAAAGUUGGCGUGUUGGAGGCUGGAGGAGGCGGAGAGUCGUCUCCUGAGGCCAGACCUCUCAUCAUGGGGACCUGACGUCACCUCACCCUCCUCAUCCUCAGCACCACGCUCUGCUCUGGAGCUUUAUUCCAGCUGGAGUCUCUUCAUUACUCAGGGUCACUUCUUUAAGAACUCUCUUCCUCAGCAACGUGAUGCUUCUACUAUCUUUUUAUUAGUAGAUUAGAGUCAGUCUUUAACUCACCCAGACAGAUUCCUCCUUAGACUGACAGCAGAUGAUGAUCUACAACCUUUAAGCCAAUAAUUCUAAUUUUUUCUACUCACUUUUAGAUCUUAUUUUUCACAACUCACUACUUUAUGAACUUGAAUUACUGUUUUUUGGCUCUAACUUCCUCAACAAUCAAUUUUGUAAAAUUACACAUAAUAACUCACAGAAAAAGUACUAAUUUACAAAACAAUUUCAUUUAAUUUUAAAAAGGCCAAAACUGUAAAUAAUGUCCACAUCAAACAUGAUCAUUUUCAUAAAUAAUUAGUUCUUUACCAACCUUUGACUAUAGAAUUACACUAAAUGUACUGUUUAAAUCAGCAAAAAGUCUCAUUAUAUGACAGAUAAUUGAUUAUUAUUAAAAUUAUGUAUAUUAAAGAUUGAUGUUAAAUAUUUUAUAAAUUGUCUGUGUUUUGUUAAAUGACACUAUUUUCUAGCUAAAUAAACUAUGAAAUUACAUGAUGACUCAGGCCUAAUCUGUGCAAAAAUCUGUAUACAAAUAGGAUUUUUUUUUCUUGAACAUCACAGUAAAAUUACACUGUUUUACUGUAUUUUAAUCAGGUAAAAAUAUCAUUAUUUUACAGAUAUCUGCCAUUAUUUUUACAGCUUUUCAACAUUACUGUAUUUCACAGGUUUUUAAUUAAUUUUCUCUGACACUGUUACUUGGGUAAAAUCAAAUAAUUAAUAAUUUUGUACUCAUAACCUCAAUAUUUAAACUUGUUAGGCAGAUUGGCAACAAUAAUCUCAGCUAAAUAACAGCAUCUUCUUCAGAAUGAAGUUGCAGCAAUGAAAUCAAAUCAUUUAAUUUAACCAGUGGCAUUGAUUUUACUCGUUAACUUAAUUUGAAUGAACUUAAUUCAAUUGUGUGUCGCUAAUUGAAGCAGUUAAUUUAAGUUUGUCCAACAGAUUUAGUUUUUCAGGUGAAUCCGUCUGUUUAAUAAAGUGAAAUCUGUGUCCAGGAUCCUUCUCGUCUGUUUCCAGCUGGUUGCCAGAAGAGGUUCAUAAAGGCUUCUGGGAUUCCUCGAUCCAUCCAGCGGGACCUCAGGCCGCUGGUGGAGCGCUUCAGGGUCGGAGGAGCAUCAUGGGAAAGACGGCGCUGACCGGGUCCUCCUGGAGUCUAAUCCGAGCCUUCGGGCUGUCCUGGAUGCCGCCUGAUGAUGGGACGACCUCCCCCAGCAGGUCCCUCAGCGUGUCCUCCUCCCCGCAGCACAGCUCUACGGCCGACACCGACACCGUCAGGUCGGUCCAGGUCUUCUCCCGGCGCCGCUCGAUGCCGCUGUACAGCCAGGAGAUGGCACAAGGAAUGAGCCCGAGCUUCUGGAUGUUCUCACUGCUGCCCACCAUGCUGGACCAGGAGCCUAGUGGAGGAAACAGAGCACAGAGAUGAGAAGUGAUGGUGAACAGCCAGACUCAGCGCCUGUUUCUUCAGAGCUACCAGGGUCGCAGAGCACUUCUCACAGCACGCAACUUUCCCAUCAGACCUCCCGAAGCCCGGAUUCACCGACUGGGAGCUCCUGCACAAAGUCCC